ensembl:lncRNA
AUGAUGAGGCUACACUGGCACCUCAGCUUCGCCUCAGUGUGCUUGUAUGUGUGCGGUGAUAUAUUUCAGCCGGAUCACCGCAACGAAAAGUGGAACCAUUGUGAAGGACACUUUUACAAGGGAUGGACCCAUCUUCGACUGCUUCUUAAAAAAGCAUCUGUGGACUUCUGUUGUAAAUGCCAUGAAGAGAAAUGCAUUUCCAUUGCAAUUUUUCCAACUUUAAGACAUGUGCCAGUUUUUUGGGCAUAUAAAAUAAGCCAUAAAGGGGACCCUGUUUUGUCAGAGCACAAUCUGUUGAAGAAUAUUACAACUUGGUAUAUAUCACCAUCGGUUGUUGAGGAUCUGCUCAGAGAAAAGUUGCAUUCACUCCCAUCUCAAGUGACCUCAAGACCCUCCCUAUCAAUAACACAUAUUUUAAGUGGAGUGUUUCCUCUCAAUGCGAAAUACAUUCACAAAGAGGGAAACUGGCACAACUCAGGCUACAUUCACUGGAUCACAUAUCACCACACAAAUGUGAAGGGGCUUAGUUUUGAAGGAGCACUUGUCCAAAAAAGUCAGGAGAAAUGUAAGUGGAAAUGGCUGAUGGUGAAGCAACUGGUUGGGAUUCUUUCUGAAGUCUUUUCGGCCAAACCCAUGCAAACCUUCUUCAAUCAUCAAAACAUGGUACCUUUAAACCUGAACAGCUUAGAUGAAAUUCCAGACAGCUUUUCUGUAAAUGAAAAGAUAGAUGACUACCUGCCAUGUGUGAUGACAACAACAAUGCAAGUCAAAGAAGCAAAACAUGACUUUUCCAAAGUGACAACAAGCAGCAAACCUCCGCUUACUUCAGAUAUGAUUGCAGGCCUGUGCUCUGUGCUCAUUCACCGUACUAGCACCGGUUUAAAGAGAUGUCUUGAGAGGAUGAUAUUAGACAAAGAAAACUACACCACCUCUUCCCCGCUCUCGUAUUUCCCUGCUAGAAACGAGCCACUUAAUGCCAGAUCAGACCUCCAAAACAGAGCCCUCUUCAACUAAGUGAAAUCAUUAAUUACAGUAAAUAUACCACAAAAAAGCCACACAACAGUGUUGAACUCAGUGCAGAGGAAAACGAUAAUUUUUACUACUUUAAUGGCAAAAUAAAAGGUACAAUGAAUCACUUUGGAAAAACUAA